UGCCGAGGGAUUUGCCUUUUUGUUAAAGGGAUAACAAGUGGCCUCUCCUGUAGCAACUACGAGCGUUUCCCCACAUCUGGUUUUUUGCAUUCCAGUCCCCCGCAAUGAUGAACCUCAGUGAUUGUGGAUUACAUAGUUGGUCUAUCCCUUUGAGGAGGCGAGGAAAAUCGUCGUUUUGUCAUUUCACAGAUGGUGGGCAAUAGAUGGAGGCAAGUACAAGGACCGAAUGGGCAAGGUCGCUACGAAUUAUUGUCGCAGCAUCCCCUCUGCGCUGCGACACUGGAUUCAAGGCAGUGUAAACCUUGUAUCCGGGGAUAUGAAAGGUCCCUGUCCUAACUUCGCUGACGAGCAGCACGUCAACAUCUCGUCCACUUAAGAACGAUGAGAGCUCGUCAAUUUUGUUUUGGAUGCCCCCAGCGUUCCAGGAGACAAUCUUUAAAGUCUUAGGAGCUUUAAACAUAGAGGCAGUCAUUGGCGUCAAGGGUAUUUUCUAGAAUCGAGGCCAUUUCGAUUGUCUGAAUGGAGCAGGAUAAGUUAGAGAUAGGAUAGGCUAGAGAGUUAUUGUUCGGUGAGACCUCAGUUAUGUCAAACAUAUUAGUGAUUUUAAUAAACAGAGUUG